UACGGGGGGGGCAAGCGUUGUUCGGAAUUACUGGGCGUAAAGGGCUCGUAGGCGGCCAACUAAGUCAGACGUGAAAUCCCUCGGCUUAACCGGGGAACUGCGUCUGAUACUGGAUGGCUUGAAUCCGGGAGAGGGAUGCGGAAUUCCAGGUGUAGCGGUGAAAUGCGUAGAUAUCUGGAGGAACACCGGUGGCGAAGGCGGCAUCCUGGACCAACAUUGACGCUGAGGAGCGAAAGCCAGGGGAGCAAACGGG
rnacentral:rRNA from 1 species